GUCUAGCCGAAUGAAUCGCCUCAAAAAUGUUCAGUUGCAAGGAAAAUGAAAGCCCCUAAGUCUGCCAGCUCUAUUAACAGGCAACUGAGUGAUAAAAGGCUGGGACCUGCAACCCAAAACAAAGCAGCUUCCCAAAGUUUCAGCAAGCUGAGCAAAGCGUUGUCUUCGGGGAAAAAGUGAGGAUCGAUCUUCAGCCAAUUUCUGAGUCAUCUGAAGCCAGAUCGGGCGCUGCAGCCCAGAAUGUGCUUGAAAGAGAACAGUCCCACACUGGCAGAGGGGCGGAUUCGGUGACCUCAUCAUGUCCCUCUUCCACAGCUAAGAUUGGAGAUCAUCCCAUACAGAAAAGUAACAGCAGUCCAUCCCCACCUCCACCACAGAUAGCCUCAGCUGGGGUAAUUACAAAACACUGUCUAAUUGAAAAGCAUCUACAGCAAGGAUCUGCAAAGAGCAGCUAUUCGUUCCUGGGUCCGUGGUUAGGGAGGUGGCAGGCACAGCGCUUGGUUCCAGUCACACCCUCGAAAGAAACCUUCCUAUAAGCUCUUCUUAUUGGAUGUAAAAGUUAUUUCCACUUCUGGGUGCAAUUCAGGAAGCGGGUGAUGUCUGACAGAGUGAUCUUACAGAAUGAAAGCCAAAAAUGAUCUCACUCAAAUUAGUCUAAUAGGGGAUGGCUCCGUUCUGAUGCAGGUUCUGUGGUUUCACAGGUGUCAUCAAUAUGGCAAAGCCCGAGUAAGCCGUGCUCUGAGCAGGGCUUGGAAAUUCACAGGUGCUUCUUCUGUAGCAAAAUGCUUUCCACCGUCCUUAUCUCAUGUUCUUCCACAGUCUGUCUGAAGCUACUAUGACUCUGAUAUAAAAAAACAGAAUGAAAAGGUUGGAACUCCAAAUGUGUUUAAGCAAUUAAGUUUACGUGGUCGCACUAAAUCCAGCUAAUUCUUUGUAAGGGAAGCCAGGCUGAUGACUGGCCCCACCCUAGGUAACCAGCUUCACUUGGGAUCGCUGCAGCACAUAUUUAAGCAGGAAAGCAGCCAAGCAACCCCCCUCAGAAGACAGUCAGUUGUUUCUGUUCCUUCUGCUGUGGGUAACCAGGCUUCCUCUUGUAGGGACAGCUAAGGACAGAGCAGUGCGCCAGCCUUUGGGGGUGGGAGAGUUGUGAACUGAAGAUCUAUUUAUGUUCUGCUGCACAAGAAAAUGAGCUCAUUCUUAGGUUGAAGAGAGCUCCAAGAACUGGAGAACCAACAGCUGCGAGCCCACCAGAAAGUGAAUUGGAAGCUUUCAGGAAGAUGGAGGAUACCAGCUCUACUGGCCCCUUCUGUUUGAUACCUUGGGCACAACCAUGUUUCUGAUGGUCUGUCACCACUGGAAUUGCUGACACUUGGAAAAUCAGCAGUGAAACUUCGGCAGAGGGCAAGGAAAGGAAGCGUGUUCAGAAGUCACAUCACUUUCCAGCCAUUGGAAGCGUCAGCGUUUUGCCAUCCAAAGGGCCUGGAAAAGCACCGCAGUCGCUGACGGCAGCGCAGGCAGAUCCAUGGGACUGCUCCAUGGAGCACCAGCAGCUUCUCCAGCCGACAGGAAUGCAAGCAGGCUCCAAAUGCAUCAGUAUUAAGGAACUAAAAACACGCGCGGAAAAAUUCACGCUGCGAAAGAACAUGGCUACUGAAGUUUCCAACAUCCCACCAGUAACUGCUGAAUGGCAAUUAAGACAGAGCACACCGGUGUCCCAUGCUUGUGCUGAAAAGCUCUUAGGAGCAGCAGGUGCUUCCCUGGGCAGGGCAAGUCAUGCCAGGCUCUGGACUUGUGCUUUAAAUUUCAUGGGCUUGCAAACAGAUUUUGUCUUCGGAGCAGCUGUUUAAUUUACAAGGAAGAGGACAAGGCAGAACUGCAAAACCUAACAUCGAUUCUCUUUUCGUAACAGGAUUAAGAGCCUGAUGAGUGCAAGGCAGCAAAUUCCUCCUUCAGAAGGACCAUUAGAGAUGAGAAACAGCUUCCCUGAACACCAGACACAGACCUCUCCCAUCUUGCUGCAGUGUUCCCCAUUCUCUAACAACCACCUGACAUUAAGCACUUUAAUUUUUUUGUGCUUAAGGCCACUGGAUUAGUCUUUUUUUCAGCAUCAUUA